UACAGAGGUCUCAAGCGUUGUUCGGAUUCAUUGGGCGUAAAGGGUGCGUAGGCGGCGCGGUAAGUCGGGUGUGAAAUCUCGGAGCUUAACUCCGAAACUGCAUUCGAUACUGCCGUGCUUGAGGACUGGAGAGGAGACCGGAAUUUACGGUGUAGCGGUGAAAUGCGUAGAUAUCGUAAGGAAGACCAGUGGCGAAGGCGGGUCUCUGGACAGUUCCUGACACUGAGACACGAAGGCCAGGGGAGCAAACGGG
rnacentral:rRNA from 1 species